rnacentral:rRNA from 1 species
UACAGGGGGGGCAAGCGUUGUUCGGAAUUACUGGGCGUAAAGGGUUCGUAGGUGGCCAACUAAGUCAGACGUGAAAUCCCUCAGCUUAACUGGGGAACUGCGUCUGAUACUGGAUGGCUUGAGUGUAGGAGAGGGAAGCGGAAUUCCUGGUGUAGAGGUGAAAUUCGUAGAUAUCAGGAGGAACACCGGCGGCGAAGGCGGCUUCCUGGCCCAUUACUGACGUUCAGGUACGAAAGCGUGGGUAGCAAACAGG